GAUGAACGCUGGCGGCGUGCCUAAUACAUGCAAGUCGAGCGAACGGACGAUAAGCUUUCUUCUCUGAUGUUAGCGGCUGACGGGUGAGUAACACGUGGAUAACCUACCUAUAAGACUUGGAUAACUUCGGGAAACCGGAUCUACUACCGGAUCAUAUUUUGUACCGCAUGGUUCAAAAGUUCAACACGGUCUUGCUGUCACUUAUAGAUGGAUCCGCGCUGCAUUAGCUAGUUGGUAAGGUAACGGCUUACCAAGGCAACGAUGCAUAGCCGACCUGAGAGGGUGAUCGGCCACACUGGAACUGAGACACGGUCCAGACUCCUACGGGAGGCAGCAGUAGGGAAUCUUCCGCAAUGGGCGAAAGCCUGACGGAGCAACGCCGCGUGAGUGAUGAAGGUCUUCGGAUCGUAAAACUCUGUUAUUAGGGAAGAACAGAUGUGGAAGUAACUGUACACAUCUUGACGGUACCUAAUCAGAAAGCAACGGCUAACUACGUG
rnacentral:rRNA from 1 species